rnacentral:rRNA from 1 species
AUACGGAAGGGGGCUAGCGUUGUUCGGAAUUACUGGGCGUAAAGCGCACGUAGGCGGACAUUUAAGUCAGGGGUGAAAUCCCGGGGCUCAACCCUGGAACUGCCUUUGAUACUGGGUGUCUUGAGUACGAGAGAGGUGAGUGGAAUUCCGAGUGUAGAGGUGAAAUUCGUAGAUAUUCGGAAGAACACCAGUGGCGAAGGCGGCUCACUGGCUCGUAACUGACGCUGAGGUGACGAAAGCGUGGGGAGC